rnacentral:rRNA from 1 species
GACAGAGGUCCCAAGCGUUGUUCGGAUUCAUUGGGCGUAAAGGGUGCGUAGGUGGCAUGGUAAGUCGGGUGUGAAAUCCCGGGGCUCAACCCCGGAACUGCACUCGAUACUGCCGUGCUCGAGUACUGGAGAGGAGACUGGAAUUUACGGUGUAGCAGUGAAAUGCGUAGAUAUCGUAAGGAAGACCGGUGGCGAAGGCUAGUCUCUGGACAGUUACUGACACUGAGGCACGAAGGCCAGGGGAGCAAACGGG